UCUAAGGCUUAUAAUGGAGACCGUGGCAUUAAGUUUCGGCUUUAAUGACCCGGACUUAUAAUGUCCCGACAUCUAUCCGAUGGUAUAAUUAUGAUGAUAGAUCGCUAUAAAUGCGUAUGAGCGUUCAGAUCCAUAACAAAUUCUUUAUAUGUUAAUAAUAGUGGAAAUCGGAUUUAACGCCGAUUCUACACAUAUGGUAUUGAUAGUUGUGGUAUUCUCGAACCGUUCUUUAUCAUCAGUCAACGGCGUUUAUGUUUUGGGUAAUUACAGGACCCGUCUUGAAACACGGACCAAGGAGUCUAGCAUGUGCGCAAGUCAUUGGGACUUUGUGAAACCUAAAGGCGUAAUGAAAGUGAAAUAUUUGUGAAUUUUCGUAAUUCACUGAAUUUAAGGGAAGAUGGGUAACGUUAUUUAUGUUACCUCGCAUUCCCGGGGCGUCGCGUACUUAUUGCAAGUUGCGGCGCACCAAGAGCGUACACG
rnacentral:rRNA from 1 species